rnacentral:rRNA from 1 species
CAGCAGCCGCGGUAAUACGUAGGUGUCAAGCGUUGUCCGGAAUUAUUGGGCGUAAAGGGCUCGCAGGCGGUUUCUUAAGUCUGAUGUGAAAGCCCCCGGCUCAACCGGGGAGGGUCAUUGGAAACUGGGAAACUUGAGUGCAGAAGAGGAGAGUGGAAUUCCACGUGUAGCGGUGAAAUGCGUAGAGAUGUGGAGGAACACCAGUGGCGAAGGCGACUCUCUGGUCUGUAACUGACGCUGAGGAGCGAAAGCGUGGGGAGCGAACAGGAUUAGAUACCCCUGUAGUCCCUGUCUCUUAUAC